AGCUUUGCACAGCGGCAGUAUCGUAGCCAAUGAGGUUUAUCCGAGGCAUGAUUAUUGCUAAUUGAAUUUAGGUGGCUUCUUCUAGUGCAUC
rnacentral:snRNA from 1 species